rnacentral:rRNA from 1 species
UACGUAGGGUGCAAGCGUUGUCCGGAAUUAUUGGGCGUAAAGAGCUCGUAGGCGGUUCGUCACGUCGGCUGUGAAAACCUGAGGCUCAACCUCAGGCCUGCAGUCGAUACGGGCGGACUCGAGUUCGGCAGGGGAGACUGGAAUUCCUGGUGUAGCGGUGAAAUGCGCAGAUAACAGGAGGAACACCGGUGGCGAAGGCGGGUCUCUGGGCCGAUACUGACGCUGAGGAGCGAAAGCGUGGGGAGCGAACAGG